AGAGUUUGAUCCUGGCUCAGAUUGAACGCUGGCGGCAUGCCUUACACAUGCAAGUCGAACGGCAGCGCGGGGCAACCUGGCGGCGAGUGGCGAACGGGUGAGUAAUAUAUCGGAACGUGCCCUGGAGUGGGGGAUAACGCAGCGAAAGUUGCGCUAAUACCGCAUACGAUCUAAGGAUGAAGGCAGGGGACCGCAAGGCCUUGUGCUCCUGGAGCGGCCGAUAUCUGAUUAGCUAGUUGGUGGGGUAAAGGCCUACCAAGGCAUCGAUCAGUAGCUGGUCUGAGAGGACGACCAGCCACACUGGAACUGAGACACGGUCCAGACUCCUACGGGAGGCAGCAGUGGGGAAUUUUGGACAAUGGGCGAAAGCCUGAUCCAGCAAUGCCGCGUGAGUGAAGAAGGCCUUCGGGUUGUAAAGCUC
rnacentral:rRNA from 1 species